rnacentral:rRNA from 1 species
CGGUAAUUCCAGCUCCAAUAGCGUAUACUAAAGUUGUUGCAGUUAAAAAGCUCGUAGUUGGAUUUCUGCGGGGACGGAGCGGCCGGACGCAACUUGCGUCUCGAGCUAGCGCUUUCCCCACAUCCUGCCGCGAACCGUGCUACCAUUAGCUUGGUGGCGCUGGGGAUCGGCUCGAUUACUUUGAGAAAAAUAGAGUGUUCAAAGCAGGCCACACGCCUUGAAUAAGUUAGCAUGGAAUAAUGAUUAAGGACUUCGGUUCUAUUUUGUUGGUGUUCGGGACUGAAGUAAUGAUUGAUAGGGACAGUUGGGGCGGUCUGUAUUCCAAAGCGAGAGGUGAAAUUCUUAGACCUUCGGAAGACAAACAGCUGCGAAAGCGUUCCGCAAGGAUGUUCCCUUUGAUCAAGAACGAAAGUUGGGGGAUCGAAGACGAUCAGAUACCGUCGUAGUCUCAACUAUAAACUAUACCAGCUAGGGAUCGGCCAACGUUUAACUUUAUCGACUUGGUCGGCACCUUAUGAGAAAUCAAAGCAUCUGGGUUCCGGGGGGAGUAUGGUCGCAAGGCUGAAACUUAAAGGAAUUGACGGAAGGGCACCACCAGGCGUGGAGCCUGUGGCUUAAUUUGACUCAACACGGGAAAACUUACCAGGUCCAGACAUAGGAAGGAUUGACAGAUUGAUAGCUCUUUCUUGAUUCUGUGGGUGGUGGUGCAUGGCCGUUUUUAGUCGGUGAAGUGAUUUGUCUGCUUAAUUGCGUUAACGGACGAGACCCCAGCCUGCUAAAUAGCGCGGCCGAGCUUUGCUCGGUGCGAGCUUCUUAGAGGGACCAUGAUGCGCGAUAGCACAAGGAAGUUUGGGGCAACAACAGGUCUGUGAUGCCCUUAGAUGUUCUGGGCCGCACACGGGCUACACUGGUGCCUGCAACGAGCAUAUCAGCUGGCCCGAGAGGGUCUUGGCUAAUCUUUGGAACCGGCGCCGUGCUUGGGAUUGACCAUUGCAAUUGUUGGUCAUGCAACGAGGAAUGCCUUGUAAACGCGAGUCAUCAGCUCGCAUUGAAUACGUCCCUGCUCCUUGUACACACCGCCC